GAUGAACGCUGGCGGCGUGCCUAAUACAUGCAAGUCGAGCGAACGGACGAGAAGCUUGCUUCUCUGAUGUUAGCGGCGGACGGGUGAGUAACACGUGGAUAACCUACCUAUAAGACUGGGAUAACUUCGGGAAACCGGAGCUAAUACCGGAUAAUAUUUUGAACCGCAUGGUUCAAAAGUGAAAGACGGUCUUGCUGUCACUUAUAGAUGGAUCCGCGCUGCAUUAGCUAGUUGGUAAGGUAACGGCUUACCAAGGCAACGAUGCAUAGCCGACCUGAGAGGGUGAUCGGCCACACGGGAACUGAGACACGGUCCAGACUCAUACGGGAGGCAGCAGUAGGGAAUCUUCCGCAAUGGGCGAAAGCCUGACGGAGCAACGCCGCGUGAGUGAUGAAGGUCUUCGGAUCGUAAAACUCUGUUAUUAGGGAAGAACAUAUGUGUAAGUAACUGUGCACAUCUUGACGGUACCUAAUCAGAAAGCCACGGCUAACUACGUG
rnacentral:rRNA from 1 species